rnacentral:rRNA from 1 species
UAAUACAGACGGUCCAAACGUUAUUCGGAAUCACUGGGCUUAAAGAGUUCGUAGGCGGUCAGGAAAGUGGGGUGUGAAAGCCCUCGGCUUAACCGAGGAAUUGCGCUCCAAACUCCCUGACUUGAGGAGGCUAGAGGUAAGCGGAACUGAUGGUGGAGCGGUGAAAUGCGUUGAUAUCAUCAGGAACACCGGAGGCGAAGGCGGCUUACUGGGGCCUUUCUGACGCUGAGGAACGAAAGCUAGGGGAGCGAACGGGAUUAGAUACCCCGGUAGUCCUAGCCGUAAACGGUGAGCACUGGGCCGGAGUUCUGCAUAGGAUUUCGGCCGUAGCGAAAGUGUUAAGUGCUCCGCCUGGGGAGUAUGGUCGCAAGGCUG